CCGGCGCACGGUGAGUAACACGUAUCCAACCUGCCGUCUACUCUUGGCCAGCCUUCUGAAAGGAAGAUUAAUCCAGGAUGGGAUCAUGAGUUCACAUGUCCGCAUGAUUAAAGGUAUUUCCGGUAGACGAUGGGGAUGCGUUCCAUUAGAUAGUAGGCGGGGUAACGGCCCACCUAGUCAACGAUGGAUAGGGGUUCUGAGAGGAAGGUCCCCCACAUUGGAACUGAGACACGGUCCAA
rnacentral:rRNA from 1 species